rnacentral:rRNA from 1 species
UACGAAGGGGGCUAGCGUUGCUCGGAAUCACUGGGCGUAAAGGGUGCGUAGGCGGGUCUUUAAGUCAGGGGUGAAAUCCUGGAGCUCAACUCCAGAACUGCCUUUGAUACUGAAGAUCUUGAGUUCGGUAGAGGUGAGUGGAACUGCGAGUGUAGAGGUGAAAUUCGUAGAUAUUCGCAAGAACACCAGUGGCGAAGGCGGCUCACUGGCCCGAUACUGACGCUGAGGCACGAAAGCGUGGGGAGCAAACAGG